UUUGGAACGUGCUUGGAACGGUGCCGCCAUCUAGGAGAAGCGAAGCGAAGCAUUGCAGCUUCACUUCGCCUCUUCUGGAUGACGGCACCGUUCCAGGCACGUUCCAAA
rnacentral:pre_miRNA from 1 species